rnacentral:rRNA from 1 species
AUUGAACGCUGGCGGCAGGCUUAACACAUGCAAGUCGAGCGGAGAUGAGGUGCUUGCACCUUGUCUUAGCGGCGGACGGGUGAGUAAUGCUUAGGAAUCCGCCUAUUAGUGGGGGACAACAUUCCGAAAGGAAUGCUAAUACCGCAUACGUCCUACGGGAGAAAGCAGGGGAUCUUCGGACCUUGCGCUAAUAGAUGAGCCUAAGUCGGAUUAGCUAGUUGGUGGGGUAAAGGCCUACCAAGGCGACGAUCUGUAGCGGGUCUGAGAGGAUGAUCCGCCACACUGGGACUGAGACACGGCCCAGACUCCUACGGGAGGCAGCAGUGGGGAAUAUUGGACAAUGGGGGGAACCCUGAUCCAGCCAUGCCGCGUGUGUGGAGAAGGCCUUAUGGUUGUAAAGCACUUUAAGCGAGGAGGAGGCUACUGAGACUAAUACUCUUGGAUAGUGGACGUUACUCGCAGAAUAAGCACCGGCUAACUCUGUGCCAGCCGCCGCCGUAA